AUACUUCUGAUGAUGUGGGCAGUCCCGAAAAAGAUCUUUGAACCACUCCCAAGCAUGAUAUAGAUUCUCAUCUAUUUUCUGUUUGAAGAAUACAUCUCACUGCGUAGUCU
rfam:Capsicum annuum cultivar Zunla-1 chromosome 7, whole genome shotgun sequence